AAAACUGCAGUCCACUGUACCUCCUCCUACAGCAGAACCCCCAGCCAAACGUAUGGCCCAAAGGCAGCUUUUUACUACUGGCACUUCCAGAUCCACUGCUGAAGAUGAUGAAGAACUGGUGUUUGCUGCAUCACAAUGUGAAGCACAGCUCUUUGCAGUACAGAGUUGUCACAUCAUGCCUCAAGCGGGAUGCAUUCUUUGAGUGCACUUCUUCAAAACCUUAAGGAUGU